AACGAACGCUGGCGGCGCGUCUUAAGCAUGCAAGUCGAACGGUAAGGGAGAGCUUGCUCUCCCCUAGAGUGGCGGACUGGUGAGUAACGCGUGGGUGACCUGCCCUGAAGAUGGGGAUAGCUAGUAGAAAUAUUAGAUAAUACCGAAUGUGCUCAUUUACAUAAAGGUAAAUGAGGAAAGGAGCUACGGCUCCGCUUCAGGAUGGGCCCGCGUCCCAUUAGCUGGUUGGUGAGGUAAAGGCUCACCAAGGCAACGAUGGGUAUCCGGCCUGAGAGGGUGAACGGACACAUUGGGACUGAGAUACGGCCCAAACUCCUACGGGAGGCAGCAGCUAAGAAUCUUCCGCAAUGGACGAAAGUCUGACGGAGCGACGCCGUGUGAAUGAAGAAGGCCGAAAGGUUGUAAAAUUCUUUUGCAGAUGAAGAAUAAACAUAGGAGGGAAUGCCUGUGAGAUGACGGUAAUCAUGCGAAUAAGCCCCGGCUAAUUACGUGC
rnacentral:rRNA from 1 species